CAUGCAAAAAGAGUCUACACUUUCGGCUAUAGGAUCAUUCUUGUUGAUAACAUCGGAGUAUGUGAAAUUAUAUUAUUAUCGAACAGAUGACGCAUAUUGUAUUGUAAAUAUUAUUUAGUAUAUUCAUUUUAUUUCACGAUAUUUGGUCGAUUUUAUUGAAACAUAUCAUGUUAUAUCAUAAAUACGUGAUUAAAUUAAAAAUUAUAGCUUAUAGGUUUUAAUAAUAAUUGUAUUAUAAUAUAUUAACGCGUGAUCCGGAGGAAUUAUACGAUGUCGGAUACUUUGUUUAUCAGUUUUAUCUCUUAUACAUUAUUGUCCAAGUUCGUCCGUUAACGUUUAUGGAUAGAAUUAUAAAAUCAAAUGUACCUAGAAAUUUAUAUGUAAAAAAAAAAAAAAAAAAAACGAUUUCCUUUAAUAGAUAGUUGUAUCCGAUUCCUCCGUCCGGUACUCUCUGUUCGGCGUUUCUACUAAUAAAGCACAAAGAUGAUCUAUUAAUUUUACGUAACCGUGAACAGAUUCUUUCAAAUGUGCAUUUUCACACUUUAUUAUUCGCGGCGGUGCAACAAGAAAUAUUUUUCGAGGCAACAUGUCAAAUAAACUUUUAAAACAUAACGCGGCAAUUUAAAACUUGAUUAUUUUAUAAAUGAUUUCCAUUUGGUCCCAUGGAUCUGUUGAACCUAACCUAUCCGACCCUGUGUGUUUUUAUAUUUUAUUAUUUAUCUCUAUAGAUUAUAUAAAAUCAAUAGGUACUUACUCGUUAGUCGUUACACUCAUUAAUAAAUUCUUCUCGUAUACCGCUUACCACGCAUUUCUCUCAGCCCAAGCCCACAAUAUAAUAUACAAUCCGGAUAACCUAUUAUAUAUGAUUUGUCACGUUCGUUUUGAAUUUCUAACCGAUUCGUAUAUGCAAUCGCGCUUUUCUCAAGAACAUCGCACCAAUUUUGUAUCUUCGUUUACCCGAAUGCACUAGAAAUACGUAUGGGUACCAGCUGUUUUGUUUAUUCGUCGCUGCCGCCGUGAUGUUCAGAACUUUUGGAAAAUGGUAUUACCGAUUUUACGGCCGUUUCAAGGCGGGUCCACACAUGUAGCUUGGUAUAACUUCAUACCGCAUAGCACGGAUUUUUUGCGACAAUAACCAUAUUUCAUUCGAUAAUGAAAUAUGGCAGUCUGUGUCGGACAUAAUGUCUAUACCAAGGAGGAUUUUGUACAUUAAAAAUUGUACGGCUAUAGGUAAUGAGUAAAUAUACAUAUUAUAAUAUAUGUACCUUGUUGGAGGAUGGUCAUGGAACCCUGUAGCAUUGGUCUUCAACCCGUGAGUCGCGAUAAAUCGUCUGUUAAAAUAUUAAAAUUAUAAAAAAAUUUAUCUAGUAUAUAACAUAUUACUUCUAAGAAAAAACAUUUUACGCAUUGUACACUGUAUAGUAUUAUGCUACUGCAUUAUUGUACGUGGUAUAUCAUCGUAUAAAAUAAUUUAAGAGUAAACCGUACCAUUUAAUAAAAGAUAAGAAUAAACAAAUUCUAUUAAUAUUUCCAACGCAUAUCUAUGUGAAAGGGAUCUUCUAUUAUGUCGAAUUUGAAAACGUCAAAAAGAAAUAAACUUCAAACAGAACAUAAUUUGGGGACUGCAUUGUACGAAAUUAAACCAAGAUGGAGUAUGUUAUAUGAAAACAUUCAGGGUAAAAUAUUGUGUUUAUCUUUUUUCGUAUCAUUAUAUGUAUUUUUU